UACGGAGGGUGCAAGCGUUAUCCGGAUUUACUGGGCUUAAAGGGUGUGUAGGCGGGCUUUUAAGUCAGUGGUGAAAUCUCCGGGCUCAACCCGGAAACUGCCAUUGAUACUAUUAGUCUUGAAUUUUGUUGAGGUAGGCGGAAUAAGUCAUGUAGCGGUGAAAUGCUUAGAUAUGACUUAGAACACCAAUUGCGAAGGCAGCUUGCUAAACAAACAUUGACGCUGAGGCACGAAAGCGUGGGGAUCAAACAGG
rnacentral:rRNA from 1 species